rnacentral:rRNA from 1 species
AUUGAACGCUGGCGGCAUGCCCUACACAUGCAAGUCGAACGGCAGCACGGGUGCUUGCACCUGGUGGCGAGUGGCGAACGGGUGAGUAAUAUAUCGGAACGUACCUUAUUGUGGGGGAUAACGCAGCGAAAGCUGUGCUAAUACCGCAUAAUCCCUAAGGGGGAAAGCGGGGGACCGUAAGGCCUCGCGCAAUUAGAGCGGCCGAUACCUGAUUAGCUAGUUGGUGAGGUAAAGGCUCACCAAGGCAACGAUCAGUAGCUGGUCUGAGAGGACGAUCAGCCACACUGGGACUGAGACACGGCCCAGACUCCUACGGGAGGCAGCAGUGGGGAAUUUUGGACAAUGGGGGCAACCCUGAUCCAGCAAUGCCGCGUGAGUGAAGAAGGCCUUCGGGUUGUAAAGCUCUUUUGUCAGGGAAGAAAUAGCAGCUCUAACACAGUUUGCGAAUGACGGUACCUGAAGAAUAAGCACCGGCUAACUACGUGCCAGCCGCCGCAGUAA